AGGGCUUGACCCCUAUUUGAUGCUGACUUCACAUCCGCUUUUCUUCAUUCAAAGAAUCAAGCAGCCACAAGAGCAUUUUUCUUAACCAGUAUAUGGACAAUGAUCCAGCCAGUGGUUUCAGUCUUUCUGCCUUCUGCACCCGGCAGGCUUGUACUGUAUGUUGCAGUAAACAGUAGCUCUUAUUACAGAGUGACCUCAGCCAUCAUCAUCUUUAGCAUUGCUCUCUUUCUCUCUCCAUCUUAUGGUCAACAUGUCUCGCUUUGGGUCAGGCAGAGGGUCUGGCAGGGUGGGAGAUCUUUCCUUCUACCCUGUUUUUUUUUUUCAUUUACUGCGUUGCUGGGGAUGGCAAACAGUGUUAGUUAAACGCUUUGGCAGCUGUUUUUAAAUGGCCUGCUUGUCUGAUGGCAUGUACUGAUGACGCUUUCAUGAUUAAACAGAUUAUAAUCGGGUACAGAUCAUGAUGAUCAAAACCCCAUGAUAAGUCACAAAUCUAGAUAUCAUACAUUUAUGGAGUUUUAUUAUGCAGAUGAGUCAACGUGUAUAUACUGUCGAA